GACGAACGCUGGCGGCGUGCUUAACACAUGCAAGUCGAGCGGUAAGGCCCUUUCGGGGGUACACGAGCGGCGAACGGGUGAGUAACACGUGGGUGACCUGCCCUUAGCUCUGGGAUAAGCCUGGGAAACUGGGUCUAAUACCGGAUAUGACUCCAUGACGCAUGUUGUGGGGUGGAAAGCCUUGUGCGGCUAGGGAUGGGCCCGCGGCCUAUCAGCUUGUUGGUGGGGUGAUGGCCUACCAAGGCGACGACGGGUAGCCGGCCUGAGAGGGCGACCGGCCACACUGGGACUGAGACACGGCCCAGACUCCUACGGGAGGCAGCAGUGGGGAAUCUUGCGCAAUGGCGAAAGCCUGACGCAGCGACGCCGCGUGAGGGAUGACGGCCUCGG
rnacentral:rRNA from 1 species